rnacentral:sRNA from 1 species
UCUUUUAAUAGUAAUAUAUUAUAUUUAUUUUGGUUAUUUUUUAUUUAAUUACUAUUGCACUCGCUGGUUUACCAGUCAUAAAACUCCCGCAAACGCACCCAUUAUCAAACGUUCAACCAGUCGUUCAAAACGCUUGAUAACGCUUGAAACCGCAACCGCCCGUUUCCGCAAACUCCCGCAACCGCAACCGCACCCGCUGCGUUUAAACCAGUCAGGCCCUAAGUAAUCAAUUUCUUAAAACAGACAAACAAAAAACCUUAAAACGCUUAGACAUAAUGUCAU